CUCUCUCUCUCUCUCUCUCUCUCUUUUGCUCUCCUGUUGCUGACUCUGCAUCCGGGUUUCUGCUCACCUGACUCUCAUACCUGUCGCAGGAGUCUUGUUUAUGCCCCAUCGCCUCGGCCUGAUCAGGUUGUUCCUUAUUUGUUUUUAUGUCGGAUUCUUACUUUCCUGGAGGCUGUCCCUCUGAGGUUUGUUGGCUGUAGCUGGGGAAGUCUGGCACUGGCUGCUUCUUCCUACGACCAAGCGACGCUGCUUCAUCAAUGUGAAACUUUAACUUGGAUUUAUUUCUGUUAUCAUCGCUCCCAGGUAGGUUAAAUGCGCUGUGUGCCGGGUGGUAGCCGCUUCGUACCUUAAACGUGUGUUUACUCAUUUGGAAGAGGCUGUUGUCAUGCUACUUCUCUCUGCGCCAUCCACACAGAGAGGGAUUCAGACGCCUUUUCUUUCUGAGCGAUCCUUUUCCCACUGAGAAGCUGGAGCGUCAACGUCACAUAGCGUUGCUUUAGCAACUUCCAGCUGCUCUCUGUGCGACGUUCACGAGCCACACGCUGAUGUUCCUUGUGGGCUAUGUCGGCGUUCCUGGUGCCUUUAGGUACAAAUUCAGCAAACCAUUCUCCCGAGG
ensembl:lncRNA